rnacentral:rRNA from 1 species
CACGCUGACACGUAGGUGAAGUGAUUUACUCAUGGAGCUGAAGUCAGUCGAAGAUACCAGCUGGCUGCAACUGUUUAUUAAAAACACAGCACUGUGCAAACACGAAAGUGGACGUAUACGGUGUGACGCCUGCCCGGUGCCGGAAGGUUAAUUGAUGGGGUCAGCGCAAGCGAAGCUCCUGAUCGAAGCCCCGGUAAACGGCGGCCGUAACUAUAACGGUCCUAAGGUAGCGAAAUUCCUUGUCGGGUAAGUUCCGACCUGCACGAAUGGCGUAAUGAUGGCCAGGCUGUCUCCACCCGAGACUCAGUGAAAUUGAACUCGCUGUGAAGAUGCAGUGUACCCGCGGCAAGACGGAAAGACCCCGUGAACCUUUACUAUAGCUUGACACUGAACAUUGAGCCUUGAUGUGUAGGAUAGGUGGGAGGCUUUGAAGUGUGGACGCCAGUCUGCAUGGAGCCGACCUUGAAAUACCACCCUUUAAUGUUUGAUGUUCUAACGUGGACCCGUGAUCCGGGUUGCGGACAGUGUCUGGUGGGUAGUUUGACUGGGGCGGUCUCCUCCUAAAGAGUAACGGAGGAGCACGAAGGUUGGCUAAUCCUGGUCGGACAUCAGGAGGUUAGUGCAAUGGCAUAAGCCAGCUUGACUGCGAGCGUGACGGCGCGAGCAGGUGCGAAAGCAGGUCAUAGUGAUCCGGUGGUUCUGAAUGGAAGGGCCAUCGCUCAACGGAUAAAAGGUACUCCGGGGAUAACAGGCUGAUACCGCCCAAGAGUUCAUAUCGACGGCGGUGUUUGGCACCUCGAUGUCGGCUCAUCACAUCCUGGGGCUGAAGUAGGUCCCAAGGGUAUGGCUGUUCGCCAUUUAAAGUGGUACGCGAGCUGGGUUUAGAACGUCGUGAGACAGUUCGGUCCCUAUCUGCCGUGGGCGCUGGAGAACUGAGGGGGGCUGCUCCUAGUACGAGAGGACCGGAGUGGACGCAUCACUGGUGUUCGGGUUGUCAUGCCAAUGGCACUGCCCGGUAGCUAAAUGCGGAAGAGAUAAGUGCUGAAAGCAUCUAAGCACGAAACUUGCCCCGAGAUGAGUUCUCCCUGAGACUUUAGGUCUCCUGAAGGAACGUUGAAGACGACGACGUUGAUAGGCCGGGUGUGUAAGCGCAGCGAUGCGUUGAGCUAACCGGUACUAAUGAACCGUGAGGCUUAACCUUACA